rnacentral:rRNA from 2 species
AUGCAAAGAACUUUGAAAAGAGAGUUAAAGAGUACCUGAAAUUGCUGAAACGGAAGCGAAGGAAACCAGUGUUUGUUGGUUCAUAUUUCCCUGGCCACUUGUGGUUUGGGCGCUGUGAGCCUGCGUGGGUUUGUUUUGAUUGAUCCCUUUGGAAGAGCGCAGACAGAGUUGAUGUCUGUUGCUAGCACUGGGUUUGAUUGAUGCAGACGAAAUGGUUUUCUUUACCCCGUCUUGAAACACGGACCAAGGAGUCUAACAUAUGUGCGAGUACAGGGGUGUCAAACCCCGGUGCGUAAUGAAAGUGACAGUGGUUGGAUAUUUUGCACAAUCCGCCGGCCUCAAUCCUUCGGGAGAACGGUCUGAGUGUGAGCAUACAUGUUGGGACCCGAAAGAUGGUGAACUAUGCCUGAAUAGGGUGAAGCCAGGGGAAACUCUGGUGGAGGCUCGUAGCGAUUCUGACGUGCAAAUCGAUCGUCAAAUUUGGGUAUAGGGGCGAAAGACUAAUCGAACCAUCUAGUAGCUGGUUCCCUCCGAAAUUUCCCUCAGGAUAGCUGCAAUCGAUUUCAAUUUUAUCA